rnacentral:rRNA from 1 species
AGAAUCAACGCUGGCGGCGUGCCCAACACAUGCAAGUCGAACGCGACUGGGGCUUCGGCUCCAGUUGAGUGGCGAACGGGUGAGUAACACGUGGGUGACCUACCUUCGAAUGGGGGAUAACGUCCCGAAAGGGACGCUAAUACCGCAUAACAUCCUGCCUUUGAACAGGUGGAGAUCAAAGCCGGGGAUCGCAAGACCUGGCGUUUGAAGAGGGGCCCGCGUCCGAUUAGCUAGUUGGUGAGGUAACGGCUCACCAAGGCGACGAUCGGUA